AGCGAACGCUGGCGGCAUGCUUAACACAUGCAAGUCGCACGAGGGGGCAACCCCUAGUGGCGGACGGGUGAGUAACGCGUAGGUAUCUGUCCAUGGGUGGGGGAUAACAGCGGGAAACUGCUGCUAAUACCGCAUGACACCUGAGGGUCAAAGGCGCGAGUCGCCUGUGGAGGAGCCUGCGUCCGAUUAGCUAGUUGGUGGGGUAACGGCCUACCAAGGCGAUGAUCGGUAGCUGGUCUGAGAGGAUGAUCAGCCACACUGGGACUGAGACACGGCCCAGACUCCUCCGGGAGGCAGCAGUGGGGAAUAUUGGACAAUGGGCGCAAGCCUGAUCCAGCAAUGCCGCGUGGAUGAAGAAGGUCUUCGGAUUGUAAAGUCCUUUCGGCGGGGACGAUGAUGACGGUACCCGCAGAAGAAGCCCCGGCUAACCUCGUGCCAGCCGCCGCGGUAACAC
rnacentral:rRNA from 1 species